AGAUUGAACGCUGGCGGCAUGCCUUACACAUGCAAGUCGAACGGCAGCACGGGAGCAAUCCUGGUGGCGAGUGGCGAACGGGUGAGUAAUAUAUCGGAACGUGCCCAGUCGUGGGGGAUAACGCAGCGAAAGCUGUGCUAAUACCGCAUACGAUCUAUGGAUAGAAAGGCGGGGGAUCGCAAGACCUCGCGCGAUUGGAGCGGCCGAUAUCGAGAUUAGCGUAGUUGGUAGGGGGUAAAACGCCUAACGAAGGCGACGAUCGUGUAGCUGGUCUAGAGACGGUACGACC
rnacentral:rRNA from 1 species